rnacentral:lncRNA from 1 species
AGAAAACAAGAGAGGAAAGAAAGAAAAUAAGGAAAACAAACCCUAGCCAAGGAAAAUUCAAGAGAAAGUGUGAAAAUCCAAGGAAUAAACAAGGUAAAGUGAAAAUUCUUUAUUUUUACUUGAGAUUUACAAUACCCAUGCUUUAUUUUCUUAUUUCUAUGGUUGAGAAGUAUGAUUUCAUAGUGAAUAAGUCGUAGGCCGAAUGGGUAUGGUGAGAGAAAUGAUAUUGGAAUUGUUUUAUUUUAAGUUAUGUUAGUGAUUAAGGUUAGUUUAGCAUAUUUAGAAGCAAAACAACAAGAAAAGAAUCCAUUUUCCCCAUGAAUCUUCAUUGGCCGAAUCUUCCUUGAUGUGUGUGGGUGAUGGAUUGUUAUUAUUUCAAGAGAAAUGGCUUAGAAAAUGAUGAAUAAUGGUGAGAAAAUUAAGUACGAAAAAUCACAGUGUUAGUGCACUGUAAUGGCCGAAUUUUUCCAUGAAGAAAUGGGAGGGUUUUGAUACUGAAAUUGGUGUUAUUUGAGUAAUGUUUGGUGAAUUGAGGUAUUAGAAAAGAAAUGGAGUAAUUUGGGAUUAAAUUGGAUGUGUUAGUAAUUUAAUCGGGUGAUAGGCCGAAUUAGGUCAACAUCGUGUUUAAGCGGUUGACCGAGCAUUCCAUGCAAUCAUUUAGAUUUAGAGGGCCUGAAAUAGUUUAUGACAAAUUGACACAAAUUAUUGAAUUUUGUGUCAUGUGUGAUGUAUAGGUGGUGAGCUAUUUGAUAAGGAUAAAGAGAUUACACUAAAGACCAGGACUAGGAGUAUUUCUACUCCUGAUACUAUGAAUAACCUUACUAUCGUCUUAAUUAUCUAAAGUGGUUUUUAUCCGAUUUUACGAUUUUAUGGAAAAUGAGUUUAAGGGGUAAAUCUUUAUGUUUUAUAAAUAAAAUGUGAUUAAAUGAAAAUGAUAUUAUAAAAUUGUCUUGAAAUUGAAUGAUGGUUUUUAAAAUAGAGUAAUUGGAGACCACUUGAUGUGUUGUAAAUUUAUGGUUUUAAAUUGAAUGGCUUAUGACAAUAAAUGAGCAUGAAUGGCUAAACUGAUUUUUAGUGUUAGAAUUAUUUAUAUUGUGUAUUCAGCCUUAAGAGGCUAGGUUGCGAUAAAUUGCCAUGUCAUGCAGAUAAAGAUUUUAUAAAUCAGAUGGUAGAUAAAAUAAUCCAUAAUUCCUUCAGUGGAGGUUCUGUGGACCAGCCUAAGAGAGGGGGCACAGAAUCAGAUAUACCUUACCUCGAUCGGAGAGUCGUGUGGAGGGUGUCUCUAAAGGUAAAGAUUUGAGUGCACUUCACGUGGAUCACCGUGUGAGAGUGAGACUCAGCCAACGCCAAGGCAUGGCUAUAUUUUCAAAUGUAAAAAUAUGUUAAUGUGUGUACUACACUGAACAGCCUUGGUGGUCUCGAUUAGAUGCUUAGGCCAAGGCAUCCUCGAGAAUGAUUUUUGCAGGAGCCAAGUUUUGUGAAAUACAUAAGCCAAGUUGAUUAUUUGAGUAAAUUGAUUAUUGAUGUUAUGAAAAACAUACUGGAAUGGAAUAUCUUGUCUCCAUUUACUCGACUUUAGAUGGUUUAGAUGGUAUCUGUUUACUCACUGGGAUUUUAUAAUCUCACCACCCUCAAUUCUCCACAUUUCAAGCUCGG